CCCGGGCCUUGUACACACCGCCCGUCACACCAUGGGAGUUGGUUUUACCCGAAGCCGGCGUGCCAACCGCAAGGAGGCAGCCGACCACGGUAAGGUCAGCGACUGGGGUG
rnacentral:rRNA from 1 species